GAUCUGAAGUUUAAGAGUCCACAUUUAAUUCUCCUAUUUUGUUGUGCUCUUUCAGUGGUGGUAAUUUUGUUUAGAUUUUUAUGUAUAACUCCUCUUCUGUUAACGUUUGAUUUUAUUAAUUUAAAUGGUCGGGGGCAGACACUGUCACAAAGUAUUUUUGGGUGAGUAACUGCUCUGGAAGGGGAGAGAAGCGUAUACGACUGCAACUCUGUCUCCUGGUCUCAACUCUUUCCUCAACUGAUCCUGUAGUUUCUGCAACUCCCUGUUUAAUUUUGGUUUGGCAGCCCUCCUUUUUCUUCUCCCAAGAUCACAUUGCCUAAAAUCAACAUGUAAACAUAAAUAUAUGGUCACUUAACCAUUUUACCUGCAGCAAAAUAGACAUCGCCAGCCAUUAACUGUAACCAUAUAAAUACUUUCAUUAUUAAUUUCACGAUAGCAAGUUAUUUGAGGGUAAUUACCCAGUAAUUGAUAGAUACUAAUUGAUGUAUGUUCGUGUGGACUUGAGUAUGUGUCGAAAGAGGUAGAUAGGUUGAUGUAGACCAGGCGUCUCAAUGUGUUCUGGUUCGUAUAGAGUUCCCAAAAGAAACUACAAGUGGAAAGUACGUGGGUGUUUCUGAUAUCAUUCAGAUCAUUGCAGAUGUAGGUAAGGUGUGCUGGAGAGGGCCAGUGGCCAAGAAUUUGAUGAUGUGGUCAGGGGGUUCCCUGCCUAAGGACUUGGUAUGAGUCGAAAGAAGUAGAUAGGUUGAGGUAGACCGAACUGGUUGGUCUGAAUUUGAGGUGAUAGAGUGUCAGAAGAAUGGAUGGAAAUGUCAGACAUGGGAUGGAUGUAGCUGAGGGUAGAAGCGGUUAACUUGAAUUUCAGACAGUGUUUGCUGCCUGAAGAUAGGUAAAACGGGGGAGGGUCGUGCGGCCAAAAGUGGACAGACAGGGGGAACACCAGAGGCCAGGGUGAAAUUGCUGGUGGUCAUGGGAUUGAUGAUGGGUGGAGUGAAAGGACCGGUGAUGGGUGGGGGCUGUAAGAAAUGGAAAAUGCAGUGGGAUGAUGGGGAGGAAUGACCCUGUGAACACAUUGCAUAAUGGCAACGUUGCACUGUGGUUAUGAUUUUGUAAGUUGCAACAUUACCAACAGAUGACAUUGUGACAACAUUGCUCUAUGGUUGCAAAAGUAAACAGUCCUCAUAGAGACUGUUCUGCAACAUAGCAGUAUCAUUACAGAAUGGCGUAAAUAUAAUAUAAUUUAAUAAAGUAUUAUAUUACCUUGUCGAUUGUAACCUUUUUAGACGUAAUUGUAACAUGACGAUGUCCACAACGUUGUUUUGUUACAUCGCAGCAAGAGGGCCCUGGUGUUGCAUUUUUUUACGUAAAUAUUAAGUAGUUGGAUGCGUAAAGCAGACAUUAUGAGACCAAACAUUAUGUUAGCCGUAGCUGAAGGAAGGGAAGAAGAAAGGAAGCUGGGAUGGAGAGAUGCAUGUGUGGGGGUAGGGUGUGCGGCCUGCUGGGACAGGGAUGAGAAAAAAUAGGAAAACACAUGAGAAAAAUCAGAUGCGGGGGGAGCAGGCAUGAGGGGUGUUAUGACCUGGCCCUCAGAGAGGGCUGAAGCAGUUGCUGCGCCGCUGUAGUGGCUGCGUCGUGAUGUCAUUGGCGUGCUGCGUGCACAUGGUGCUGGGUACAAGGUACAAUUUGCUUAGAACCAACUGCAUAAACACAAAUCCAUGUAAACACAUGCAUAAUUAAACCAUACAAGGCAGACUUCGCAUCAAAGAGAGAUGUCAAAGUGUUGACAAAUUACUGGUAAUGUUAGCAGAAGUAAGUUAAUGUUUAUACAACAAAUCCAUGUCUGACUGGUUCCGUUAACCACUUAGGAAAGCAUCAUUAAAGUUGGCUAACGCAAAUGUAGACAGCUUCUGUCUGAGCCUUAGAAAUAAUGUUACCUUGAUAAUAGAACUAAUAUUCCUUAUAGUUAAAUUCUGAAUGAAACAGGCUUAAAAACCUAAUGUUAUCAUUCUUAUGCAUGUCAGAGUCAGUGUUAUAAACAAAAAUAAACUACAUACUUAAAUGGCACCACCAAUUAUAGUGUUUCUCGUCCUUCAUCACCUCACUUAGUCCCUGGCCAAGGCUGGUUCAUUCCAUCCCAAGUCAGCCACCAGUGUACGGAACUCCACUGAGUAAUCUGCUACGCUCCGGGUUUCCUGGUGGAUCUGUAACAGUCGCCCUCCAGCGUUUCCAGCGGCGACAGGAUGAUUGAAGAAAAUUCUCAUCUUUGCUAGAAAAUCCUCCAAGGACAAGGAUGAAAGGGGUCGGCUAGCAUGCAUAGCCUCUGCCCAGGCCAACGCUCUUCCCCGGAGUAAUCCCACAAUGUAGUUGUACCUUGGAUUGGUCAUAUGCGAAAGUCACGGGACACCAAAGAAUACUGCAGCAGAAAACCCCGGCACUUGGUAAUGUCCCCGGUGAAGGGGUCCGGGUCAGAAGCGUAGGAAUCUCGCAGGGCUGGAGAAGACGGGGGGGAUUAGCCGGAGUGGUCAGUGAGGAGGAAGCCAUGGAGACCGGAGCGGAGAGCUGGGUGGUUAGCCUGGAGACUUGGUGUGUGAGCUGGGUAAUCUGCGUGACCAGGACCUGGUUGCUAUCAGAGAGUGCCUGGAUGACCUGUUCAUGCUGCCCGAGAAGAAUCCCUUGGCUGGUGAGUGCUUGGUGGAAUGGCGCCACUUCCGGGUUUGUGUCUGCUGGGUCCAUUGUGGCCAGAUUGUUCUGUCGUAAUGUAUGAGUUAGAACCCACAAAUGCAGAACAUAAGGGGUGAGUAGAAAAGUCAGUAUUUAUUCAGACCACUGUAAGUGCAAGAAUAUAGUCUUUUCUUGAGGGAAGGGAAAACAGAGCCAACCACUGCGGCUCUUGAUGAAGCAGUGAAUCCAGUCCGGGACGAACUGCUCCGAACCAAGGACGGCGGGUGGCAAUGUGAGGCCAGCCACAGAUCCGUAGAGCGAGGUGAGCUGGCUCUGAGUGGCCCGGAGGUUUCACAGGUGGAGUCAAGGACACCAUUGGUUCGCUGGCCAGCUGGGAGACCGUAGGUUAGCUAGCAGAGCAGGCAGUCUGCUGGUUAGCUAGCAGGAAGUUCACUGGUUGACUGGCAGAGCAGGGGAACUGCUGGUAUCUGGUAGUGCUGGGAGACCGCUGGAUAGCUAGCAGAGCAGGGGAGUCCACUGGGUAGCCGGCAGAGCAGAGAGACCGCUGGUUAGUUGGCAGGGCAGGAACAAGAUGGGUGAACAGGUUAGCAGAAAUCCAUGAGGUGACGUGGCUGUGAUCACUGGCGAGAGGGAUAUCUGCAGCAAAAGCAAACCAGAGAUUACCAAACACAAGAUGUAUCAAAUAUACUAAACCGCAAAACAAUUCACCAAAGUCUCCUAUUACAUUUAACAAGGUAUGUGGCAUACAAAACCAAAAAUACAAAACCAGGUAAGGAUAGUCAGUUUAUAGAAAAUGUACUAAUUUCUGUUUAAUCUCUCUAUGUUUAUUUAAAAUGAUUCAACCUGAUGACAAAAAACAUUCCCAACAUUACUAAGUUGGAGAGAUCCUUCAAUGCUUCAGUGCAGGACCAUCAUGUGGUGUGUGCAGAUGUCCCAAUCCUGUAAACACCGCCCCUUUUAUGUGAACAUGGCAUGGUCCAUGGGUGCACUGAGGUUUUUUUCAUCAACUGCGCCGGUUUGGUAUCUUGGUGGCUCGCUGUGCAUCCCAGUGAUGCGGUGUGGCAUUGCCAAUCCAGUGGUGUACUGCAAUCUUGGUGCCAAGAAUGAGUGCAUCUUGCACAGUCCACCUGCUCUGAGCAGGUUGACAGCUCAGCACAGUAGCAUGCUGGACCUGGGGAGAACGACAGCCAGCCAGGGAGGCUGGCUUUUCUGGACACCGAAGAAGAAGCAGAGGCGGUCGGAGUAACGGCUGAUGCUGGAAGGAGAAUUGUGUGUGGAGAAAAAGAAAUAAAUAAAGACUGUUGCUGAAAAACGUGGUCUCAGCGUGUGCCUCAGGGCCAAGGGAACUCACGGUAGCCUGGUUCUGCAACAACUGGCGCCCAACGUAACUUGGCUUCUGGGAUGGCGGUACUGGUCCAGAUGCUGGGCGAAAUCGCAGCGAUGCACCAGGAGCAGGCGGCAGCUGGAAAGGAUGCAGGAACAGGCGGAGAAGACAUACCGCGUUCCGGUAAGAAUCCAAGGGUACGCAGUCCAUUAUUCACCAGAACCUGGUUCGACCCGGGGCUUUGGUGGAGGCUUGCUGGGUGGAUAUUAAGUGUGUACAUGGAGAUGUUCAUAGAUACCCUGUAGUGCCGGUGGAAAUUAGACAUCAAGGGAAAACAUUUUUUGUUAAGGCAGGGGUAAGUUCCUGUCUGACGCACCCCCUGAUUUUGGGUACAGGUUGGCUUGGGUUUGAUAGGUUAGCGAGGCACUGUGUGGGGGUGCGUGCACGACCGUCAGGGACAUGGGAUGUGUGUGCUGUGCUCAGUGGCGAUGCAAGGUUGUCCGAUGCUGUAGAUGGGGAGGGGGAACCGACGGCGCCUCCACAGCAGGCUCCUGUGUUACUCUCCACGGAAGAUUUUCCACUGGAGCAGUUUCAUGACAACAGUCUAUGCUUUGCCUUCGACCAAGUGAUAAAAAUUGAUGGUCAUGUGGUGCGCCCUGACGCAGCCCAGUCAUAUCCACACUUUUCAGUGAUCAGGGACAGGCUGUACAGAGUGAGUCGUGACACUCAGACUGGGGAAGAUGUAAUGCAAUUGUUAGUACCAAAAAGCCGCCGGGAAACAGUUUUCUAGACAGCUCAUUACAACUCGAUGGGCGGGCAUAUGGGGUGUAAUAAAAUACAAGACCAGAUAAUGGCCUGAUUCUAUUGGCCUGGGAUUUGGGGAGACGUUCGCCGUUGGUGUGCGUCUUGCCCCGAAAUGACAAAUGGUUAACCAACCAGCCAUCCUGAGAGCGCUUUUGCACCCAUUACCAUUGAAGUCCCAUUUGAACCCCUGGGUAUGGACCUCAUCGGGCCCUUUUACUGGAGCGCACGUGGAUAUUGCUUUGUGCUGGUGUUAGUGGACUACGCAACCUGAUAUCCCGAAGCAGUGCCAUUGCGCACCAUCUCUGCAAAGAGUGUGGCGCAGGCACUGUUUCAGAUCAUCUCCUGAGUCAGGAUCCCGAAAGAGAUCGUGACUGACCAGGGCACCUUCUUCAUGUCAUGUACACUGAGAGAACUUUACAGAUUAUUGGGCAUCAAAUCGAUUCAAACCAGCGUAUACCACCCUCAGACUGACGGGCUCGUUGAGCGUCUGAACAAAACUUUGAAGUCCGUGAUCCGUAAAUUUGUGUACGAGGAUGAGUGCAAUUGGGAUAGGUGGCUAGAUCCUCUGUUGUUUGCAGUGCAGGAGGUACCCCAGGCCUCCACGGGAGCUACUGGAUCGGUUAGGCACCGCUCGUUUUUUCACAACGCUGGAUUUGAGCCAAGAGCUUCUACAUUUUGUCCCAGUAGGUGCAGGGUGUUGACCACCCAGUCGUAUGCAUCAGCCGGAAGCUGUCAGAGAGGGAUGCCAGGUACAGUACAGUCGAAAAAGAGUGCCUGGCCAUCCGAUGGGCAGUCGAGGCCCUGCGGUAAUACCUGCUGGGGCGCCCAUUCACCUCCUGUUUGGACCACGCCCCCUUCUAGUGGCUCCACCGCAUUAAGGAUUCCAAUGCCCAGAUCACCAGCCUCUCCAGGGAGACUGGCUUUUCUGGACACCGAAGAAGAAGCAGAGGCCGUUGGAGUAACGGCUGAUGCUGGAAGGAAAAUUGUGUGUGGAGAAAAAUAAAUAAAUAAAUAAAGACUAUUGGUCUAUUGGAAAACGUGGUCUCAGCAUGUGCCUCAGGGCCAAAGGAACUCACACUAGCACGAUUCUACAACAGUUACCUUCUGCAGUUGAAGUAAAAAAAGGUACUGUCCUCCCCUGAACGUGGGCCCUGGGACGGUCGACCCCUCUACUCCACGGCCACUCUGCUUUUGAUAGGGCCCUUCACAUCCCAGAUAGCAAAAAUUGUUAAUUUAAGGUCAGAAAGGUUGGUGUACGGUUGAGGUUGAAAAGUCUACUUUAAAUCAACAUUUCUCAAGCAGUCACAGUUUAAAUAUUGAAAAAAAUACUAAGGAAAAUGAUAUGUCAACACAUAGCUGCAUUAUUAUUGUCUUGGCAAAUUCAGAAUCAGAAAUAUUUUAUUGAUCUCCGAAGGCAAACUCUUUUGUUACAGCAGCUCACUAUCACGUCAGUGUACACAGGAAUAGAAGUUCUAAGCAAAUCAGAAUAUAAUACACUAUAAUACAGGUCCAUUGAUUCUAAUAGCUGUAAUAUUUGAAGGUGAUCUGGUGGGGAGCAAGCAAAGAAUAGGCUAGGUUGCUCAGUAAAGAAAAGAAAAACCCAAAUGGAUGUUAGCAGAGUUUUCAUGUUCUUUAGAAAUGUCCUGCUAUUUAUAGCAGGAUUUGGGGUUAGUAGCUUUUUUUAGCAAACAUUUGAACCAAUGCCAUAAGCUUGCAGUCUUUACAGGUUGUCUAAUGUUGUAAUGGUUAGUAAAUUAACUAUUGUAAAGUGGUCGUAUUUGCUGUUAAAAAAAAUAUGCCAGCUGGCAUUAAGCUAAUAUUAGUCAUUAGUAAUGUGUGAUGUUAAAAUAGUGUCUCAUUUUUUAUCUCAUUGACCCCAGCAAAUACCAGGCUUCUGCUUAAAUAUAGACUAUUUUAUGCUGAUCAGUUAGGUGAAAACAGAUGUUUGCUAGGUUAGUAGCAAACUUUUUUUAAAACUUAAAUUUACUAAAGUUAGCUGUACUUUUUACUUUUUGCCUUUCAAGGAGACAAUAAAGAAAGACAGCAUGUUAUGUGAGUUUGUACCAAAAUAAACUAUGUAUAAUAUGGAUUGAUUAAUAAAUGCAAAUAAUUAUAUUCGGUUUUGUUUAAUCUGGUUUGUUAGCAUGAAGAACAUAAUUCAUACUUAAAUUUUAGCAAUAUAUGCUGACACCUGAAUAGUGACUGUAUUCAGUAAUGUGAAUGAUAACCUGUGUUCUCUGAUUUCUUGUUUUGAAUACUGACUAAACGGUCAAAGGUUUUAAAUGUAAAAAAAACCCCAAAGCACAUUUAAUCAUUUUGUUAGUAAAUAUUAUGUAAAUGUAUCCCACUGUCAUUGAUUUUUUGGAAAUGUGUAUGAGGUAGCAAAUUUUCUUGAACUUCAUUUACAUGUUGAGAGCAAUAUAAUAUACAAAUGUAUAUAAAUAAAGAAAAUGUCAUGAAAA